CGACGUGAGUAACCUGCCUUUCAGAGGGGAAUAACAUUCUGAAAAGGAUGCUAAUACCGCAUAAUGUCACAGUAUCGCAUGGUACAGUGACCAAAGGAGCAAUCCGCUGAAAGAUGGACUCGCGUCCGAUUAGCUAGUUGGCGGGAUAAAGGCCCACCAAGGCGACGAUCGGUAGCCGGACUGAGAGGUUGAUCGGCCACAUUGGGACUGAGACACGGCCCAGACUCCUACGGGAGGCAGCAUG
rnacentral:rRNA from 1 species